rnacentral:tRNA from 1 species
AGGCCUGUAGCUCCAACUGGCAGAGCAACGGUCUCCAAAACCGUGUGUUGUUGGUUCGAAUCCAACCAGGCCUG